AUCGAACUGCUCAUGCCAAAAUAGUGCCAGACCCCCACUCGUAUCCUCACUAUCAACUCUAGCAAAACCCGACAAACCUAAACGAUUACGGAGGCGGCGACUAACUUUAUCUUUAUUCUGCCUCGUCUCACACAAAAACACUAACUGCAGCUGCAAUUUCUGGGAAAAAACUACCAGCUCACGAACUGUCGUGGUAUUCCCCCCUCCACGACAGUUCCAGGCCAGAAAAUUCAUGGCUCCUGACGGAGCUCAUCAGGCUCCGUCAACGGCCCCAAGGCUGGUCGCACUCCCAUCCUCCUCAACGCUCCUCUGCGUCCCAUCUCUAGUGUGUUUCGUCUUCAUGGCAGUAGGUGCCUCCACCUCAUCUGGGAGCACCUCAUGGUUCUGCUGCUCUUCCGCUUCCGUCUCCUCUAUCGGCAGUUGUAUGUCCUCUUCCGCGUACUUCCUUUUCUUUCUCAGGAUCGAUUCCUUUGCCUCCAGAAAGCUUCCGGCCACCCGUGAAGCCGCAGCCCAUCUCUUCUUUUUCAGCAACUUCUUCCUCAGCAUUUUUUCCUUCUGCAUACCAGACUUGUCCGGCGCUUGAUUUGGCAGUGGAUUGUUGAUGCCAACCUCAGUCUGGCCCAGUGUCAGUCGUGCAAUAUCUCCAUCCCCGUCUCCUGCUUCUUGCUGACCCACAUCCUCACGAACUGAGAUUUUGUUCACCGCCUCCGUCAUCCCCUGCACCACAGCCACAAUGUUCGGAUCUGUUUCGGUUCUUUCCUCUGCCUCCCCGCCACCGUCAGCUUGAACAGCCCCCUUGUUUGCCUCAGUCGCAGUGGCAGGCAGGCCCAAGCUUCUACAGUUGUCUUUGUAUGUGCACGCGCGCGUUCGCGUGAGAGGCACUGGCUCUUAAGGGAAUGCAAGUUGUGUAUAGAUUGGCUUUCUGCACUUGUUCGAUUGGAAGUGGAAGCAUGUGGCUUUGGUUGCUGGGAAUUCGUAGGUGUAAUUAUCUUCAUCCUUGGUUUCUUGGUGAACUAGUGAAGGCUAGGAUUGCAGCAGCAUGAGCCACUCACCAAUGAACGCACUGGAAAUUCAUGCAUACAAGAAAAGUUGAUGCAGAAGAUGCAGGUUCUUUUUCUAUUGAGGCGGUUGAAUUAAAAGGACAGAGAAGUACUCCAUGUCAGGAGAGUGUGAAGCUGUUGUAUAAUUUCUCGUUGUGAAGACUGGAUUAAUUAACAACAUCAACAUUGAGUUUUUGGCAUUUUAUUAGGUUGUAACUGAAUAUCACAUAGCACUGCCUUUUCAUGUAAUCCUAGAUUUCUUUAGCAUUUUUUUUGAGAGAUCAUUUCUUUAACAUUUCAGUGUGAAGUCCUGAAACAUUGAGUUUUGGGCAUCUGUCUUCUGAUCGGAAUAUGUGAAAAGACAAUCUCCUACUUAUCUUA